UGAGAUGUAUAUGUUUGUUGAAACCCUGUAUGACAAUGUUCUCUCAAAUGAGUCAUGGUUGGGGCUUUUGGGCCUUUCAGACCUAAUCAGACUAAUUGAAGCCAUAUGGUGUGUCAGCUGAAUGUAAGGCCUACAUAUAUCCCUUCAUCAAAUGUGUUCACCAUUUGCCUGAAGAAGACCCAGUAGGGUCGAAAUGUUGCAUUUAUAUUAAAUAUUGGAGUUUAAAGCAGUGUUGCGGACAUUACAUUUUUUCGUUUUAAGUACUUUUCAUUUGUCCUGCACCUGCCAGAAGGAUGUUGUGUCCUGCUAU